CCUACGGGCGGCUGCAGUGAGGAAUAUUGGUCAAUGGCCGGAAGGCUGAACCAGCCAAGUCGCGUGAGGGAAUAAGGCCCUAUGGGUCGUAAACCUCUUUUGUCAGGGAGCAAAGGCGUCCACGUGUGGACGAGAGGAGAGUACCUGAAGAAAAAGCAUCGGCUAACUCCGUGCCAGCAGUCGCGGUAAUACGGAGGAUGCGAGCGUUAUCCGUAUUUAUUGGGUUUAAAGGGUGCGUAGGCGGAGUGUCAAGUCAGCGGUAAAAUUUCGGGGCUCAAUCCCGUCGUGCCGUUGACACUGACGCCCGUGAGUGAGUGAGAAGUAAGCGGAAUUCCUAGUGUAGCGGUGGAAUGCGUAGAUAUUAGGAGGAACACCAGUGGCGAAGGCGGGUUGCUAGACUGUAACUGACACUGAGGCACGAAAGCGUGGGGAGCAAACAGGAUUAGAUACCCGAGUAGUC
rnacentral:rRNA from 1 species